UACAAACUACGCAUCGUUGGCAACAGAACGUGGCAAAUGCAAUCGUGUGGCAGUGAAACUUUACAACAAAACAAGAGACUCCACCGUGAAACAUCGAAACAUUUCCUUUCGCGGUAAAUAUUUAUUACAUUGUUCACGCGACGUGACAUUUAACUAAGAAAAGCUGUUCCGAACCUUAAUUUUUUUUUAUUUACUUACCAUUUAUUUCUUGAAAAGCGAACCUGUAGACUAUAACCCAUAGGUUAUAAAGGAAGGCUAGCGAGACGACCAUGGACCAAUAGUAGCACAAUCGGCCGGCGGGGUCAAAAACAAACGACCAGUGCGGCCCAGAGCGCAGUCGGCCGCUUGCGUAGGUGGAGCGACGUCGGAGACCUCCUCUGCUGCCACUGGACCUAUCAGUGCCGUUGCAGUGCUGCGGUGCGAGGUGAUUGUGUGAGUGGUGCGGCGCCGGUGUCGCUGACGCGUGCGGCGUGUGCGGCGUGCUCCGCCAGCCCCCCAACAACGGAGCCUCGCCGCUGGCGCUCAGUAGUUUUAACCUGAUGACGGGCUCAUCGAGUCAACACUUGUGAUUAAAGCGACACUCUAGAAAAGGGCCCUCGCGUUCCUCAGCAAACAAGAGACAGACCCUCGAACCUCUCCAGCGGCGCCUUAAUGGAGGCGCGCCCGCACCGUUAACCAAGAGAAAAUCGCCGGAUCCCCCCCCCCACCCGCACGGAAGGUGUGUGGGAGUCGAACCUCACUAAAAACUCCUGCCGCUCACAGCCAGCGCCCUACCCCGGACCGGGCGGGAACCCAGUCGGAGCUAUUGAGACAGUGGGACAAGGUUUAAAAUGUAGUUCAAGCUUCGGUAACUCUGGGCGGUAACUGGUUUUCCUAAAUAAAUUAUUACCUGGCUUUGUGCGCCCGUCGAGAUCGUGAGGAGAGAUCCAGCUCGCUGGCGGCGGAGCACGUGGUGCCAGCUUGCAGCGAACCGCGAGAUCCGCCCAGCCUCCGCGAGCCCAGCCGGCACGUCAUCAUUUCUAAACACACACAAAUUAAACAUUGCUUUAGUUAUCUA